rnacentral:rRNA from 1 species
CGUGAGGGAAAGGUGAAAAGGACCCCGGGAGGGGAGUGAAAGAGAACCUGAAACCGUGGACCUGCAAGCGGUCAGAGCCCGAGAGGGUGAUGGCGUGCCUUUUGUAGAAUGAGCCUGCGAGUCUUCGUAUGCAGCGAGGUUAAGGCAUAGGAGUGCCGGAGCCGAAGGGAAACCGAGUCCGAAAUGGGCGUACAGUUGCAUGCGGAGGACCCGAAGCCAAGUGAUCUAUCCAUGGCCAGGCUGAAGCUGGAGUAGAAUCCAGUGGAGGGCCGAACCUAAAUCCGCUGAAAAGGGUUGGGAUGAGCUGUGGAUCGGAGCGAAAGACUAAACAAACUUGGAGAUAGCUGGUUCUCCCCGAAAUAGCUUUAGGGCUAGCCUUGCGUGGACAGUCAUGGAGGUAGAGCACUGAAUGGAUGAGGGCCCUUCACCGGGUACCGAUUUCAAUCAAACUCCGAAUGCCAUGACCCAAUGCGCAGGAGUCAGACGGCGACUGAUAAGGGCCGUCGUCGAAAGGGAAACAGCCCAGACCGCCGGCCAAGGUCCCCAAUGUGUGCCAAGUGGGAAAGGAAGUCCGAUUGCGAAGACAGCCAGGAGGUUGGCUCAGAAGCAGCCACACCUUCAAAGAGUGCGUAACAGCUCACUGGUCGAGUAGUCGGGCGCCGACAAUUCAACGGGGCUAAGCACACAACCGAAGCCGCGGCUCAGUACUUUGUACUGGGGGUAGGGGAGCAUUCCAUGUACGGACGAAGGUGCGCCGCAAGGCGAGCUGGACGGGAUGGAAGAGAGAAUGCAGGCAUGAGUAACGAAAAGAUGGGUGGGAUCCCCAUCCGCCGAAAGCCUAAGGUUUCCAGGGUAAAGGUAAUCUACCCAAGGGUUAGUCGGCCCCUAAGGCGAGGACGAAGGUCGUAGCCGAUGGGAAACGGGUCAACAUUCCCGUACCUCUCAACGAAUCGAUGGGACGAAGCAUAGGGCGAAGCGCAGCGGGGCGACGGUUGUCCCCGUCCAAGCGUCCGAGCGGAGGAGGCCUCCAGGCAAAUCCGGAGGCUGACGCGAGGCGCGAACGCGAGCGGACCUACGGGCGAGCGAAGUGCGUGACGUCGUCGUGCCGGGAAACAGUCUCUAAGGUGCGUCGUUGAGGGACCGUACUACAAACCGACACAGGUGGGCGAGCUGAGAAUGCGAAGGCGUACGGAAGAACUUGCGUUAAGGAACUCGGCAAAAUGCAUACGUAACUUCGGGAUAAGUAUGGCCGCGAGAGCGGCUGCAGAGAAACGGCCCAUGCGACUGUUUACCAAAAACACAGGUCCAUGCGAACCAGCAAUGGGAAGUAUAUGGACUGACACCUGCCCGGUGCUGGAAGGUUAAGGGGAGUCGUCAGCGCAAGCGAAGCGGCGAACCGAAGCCCCAGUAAACGGCGGCCGUAACUAUAACGGUCCUAAGGUAGCGAAAUUCCUUGUCGGGUAAGUUCCGACCCGCACGAAUGGUGUAACGAUAUGGGCGCUGUCUCAACGCAAGAUCCGGUGAAAUUGAAGUCCAGGUGAAGAUGCCUGGUACCUGUGGUUAGACGGAAAGACCCCGUGAACCUUUACUUCAACUUAGCAUUGAUGACUGAUCCGUCUUGUGUAGGAUAGGUGGGAGCCGGAGAUCCGUGGCCGUCAGGCUGCGGGGAGGCGACGGUGAAAUACCACCCUGGACGGUUCAGUCCUCUAACCCUCGCCGUGAUCCGGUGCGGGGACAAUGCUAGGCGGGAAGUUUGACUGGGGCGGUCGCCUCCCAAAGGGUAACGGAGGCGCGCGAAGGUCACCUUAGUCUGGUUGGGAAUCAGACGCCAAGUGCAAAGGCACAAGGUGGCUUGACUGCGAGGCAUACAGGCCGAGCAGGUACGAAAGUAGGUCUUAGUGAUCUGGCGGUGGCAAGUGGAAGCGCCGUCACUUAACGGAUAAAAGGUACUCCGGGGAUAACAGGCUGAUCUUGCCCAAGAGUUCAUAUCGACGGCAAGGUUUGGCACCUCGAUGUCGGCUCAUCGCAUCCUGGGGCUUGGAGCAGGUCCCAAGGGUUUGGCUGUUCGCCAAUUAAAGCGGUACGCGAGCUGGGUUCAGA